UGGGGAAUAUUGCACAAUGGAGGGAACUCUGAUGCAGCGACGCCGCGUGAGUGAUGAAGGAAUUAGUUUCGUAAAACUCUGUUCUAUGGGAAGAAAAGGACUGUACCAUAGGAGAAAGCUCCGGCUAAAUACGUGCCAGCAGCCGCGGUAAUACGUAUGGAGCGAGCGUUGUCCGGAAUUAUUGGGCGUAAAGGGUGCGCAGGCGGCUUUACAAGUUGGAUGUGAAAUAUUGUGGCUCAACCACAAACGUGCAUCCAAAACUGCAAAGCUUGAGUUAAGGAGAGGUAAGUGGAAUUCCUGGUGUAGCGGUGGAAUGCGUAGAUAUCAGGAGGAAUACCGGUGGCGAAGGCGACUUACUGGACUUAAACUGACGCUCAGGCACGAAAGCGUGGGGAGCAAACAGG
rnacentral:rRNA from 1 species